AGUGAACGCUGGCGGUAGGCCUAACACAUGCAAGUCGAACGGCAGCACAGGAGAGCUUGCUCUCUGGGUGGCGAGUGGCGGACGGGUGAGGAAUACAUCGGAAUCUACUUUUUCGUGGGGGAUAACGUAGGGAAACUUACGCUAAUACCGCAUACGACCUACGGGUGAAAGCAGGGGACCUUCGGGCCUUGCGCGAUUGAAUGAGCCGAUGUCGGAUUAGCUAGUUGGCGGGGUAAAGGCCCACCAAGGCGACGAUCCGUAGCUGGUCUGAGAGGAUGAUCAGCCACACUGGAACUGAGACACGGUCCAGACGCCUACGGGAGGCAGCAGUGGGGAAUAUUGGACAAUGGGCGCAAGCCUGAUCCAGCCAUACCGCGUGGGUGAAGAAGGCCUUCGGGUUGUAAAGCCCUUUUGUUGGGAAAGAAAUCCAGCUGGCUAAUACCCGGUUGGGAUGGCGGUACCCAAAGAAUAAGCACCGGCUAACUUCGUGCCAGCCGCCGCCGUAA
rnacentral:rRNA from 1 species